UUUCUCUUUUUCUAAACUGUGGU
rnacentral:piRNA from 1 species